UACAGAGGUCCCGAGCGUUGUUCGGAUUCACUGGGCGUAAAGGGUGCGUAGGUGGCCGGGAAAGUUUGAUGUGAAAGCUCGGAGCUUAACUCCGAAAUGGCAUUGAAUACUAUCUGGCUUGAGGGUCGGAGGGGAGACUGGAAUUCUCGGUGUAGCAGUGAAAUGCGUAGAUAUCGAGAGGAACACCAGUGGCGAAGGCGAGUCUCUGGACGACACCUGACACUGAGGCACGAAAGCUAGGGGAGCAAACAGG
rnacentral:rRNA from 1 species